UACGAAGGGGGCUAGCGUUGCUCGGAUUGACUGGGCGUAAAGGGCGCGUAGGCGGUUCGUACAGUCAGACGUGAAAUUCCUGGGCUCAACCUGGGGGCUGCGUUUGAUACGUGCGGACUUGAGUGCGGAAGAGGGUCGUGGAAUUCCCAGUGUAGAGGUGAAAUUCGUAGAUAUUGGGAAGAACACCGGUGGCGAAGGCGGCGACCUGGUCCGAUACUGACGCUGUGGCGCGAAAGCUAGGGGAGCAAACGGG
rnacentral:rRNA from 1 species